rnacentral:lncRNA from 1 species
UGAAAAAAAAAAUAGUUUAACGUUCAAUCAGAUGUAAUUUACCUUAAACAAUUGUAUCUCUUUCUCUGUAAAUUUAACUUUAAUCACAUAAAGGAAGCUCUUGCAGGGUCUAGCAAGCUAUUAACAUAGCAGGUGAUAAGAAAAUCUAAAUUAAACAGACCUUGCAAUAAAGGAAGGAUAAACUGUAGAUGACUCUUUACAUGAAGUGUUUAGGAAGGCUGUGCAAGUCACAUGCAGGGAGGUGUGACUAGG